rnacentral:lncRNA from 1 species
CUCUUCGCUCCAGGGCAUGCCCUUGCGGAGCUCGUCGCUCCUCGCGCCACGGCCACGGUCACAGCCUGCCGUAGAGAUUCACGAUGGUGGCGGCAUUGUCGUCGUCCCACGAGUUAGACCUGGACGUGGGCGAGGCAGGCCGUCCGAGGAGGAGCAAGCAGCCCACGGCGGCGAGAUCCAUGACGCGGCCAUGAAGGCACCUGCAGAGAGGAACGACACGUAGUUCAGAGACGAGAGAGAGAGAGAGAGAGAGAGAGAGAGAGGGAGGGAGAGAGGAAAGAGGAGAAAGGAGAGAGGGAGGCACGGCGGUGGGGUCCUGCUGUCUGCUCCCGGCGAGGUCAGGA